GUCAUUGUUUUCUCAGCUCGUGUCGUGAGAUGUUGGGUUAAGUCCGCAACGAGCGCAACCCUUAUUACUAGUUGCCAUCAUUAAGUUGGGCACUCUAGUGAGACUGCCGGUGAUAAACCGGAGGAAGGUGGGAUGACGUCAAAUCAUCAUGCCCCUUAUGACCUGGGCUACACACGUGUACAAUGGAUGGUACAACGAGUCGCCAACCCGCGAGGGUGCGCUAAUCUCUUAAAACCAUUCUCAGUUCGGAUUGCAGGCUGCAACUCGCCUGCAUGAAGUCGGAAUCGCUAGUAAUCGCGGAUCAGCACGCCGCGGUGAAUACGUUCCCGGGCCUUGUACACACCGCCCGUCACACCACGGAAGUUGGGAGUACCCAAAGUAGGUUGCCUAACCGCAAGGAGGGCGCUUCCUAAGGUAAGACCGAUGACUGGGGUGAAGUCGUAACAAGGUAGCCGUAUCGGAAGGUGCGGGCUGGAUCACCUCCUUCUAGACUGCAGAAA
rnacentral:rRNA from 1 species